AGGCAAUAUAGCUUAUUAUUAAAGCAAGGUUUUGAAGAAGCUUAGAAGAAAUUAUUUCUUUGUCUA
rnacentral:tRNA from 1 species